CGUUGAAGGGGUGAAAAGGACAGAAAAAGUAGGAUACAGUCAAUUGAUUAAUUGCAAUUGAUCGUUCAAAGAGAAAAAUCAUCUCAACAGCCGACUUCGUACUGCUCAUCAAAGAUCACAACACAAAAUACAUCUGUCAAUUUUUGCGUAUUUGAACAUUUUUUUUCAACAUUCGUGUUACACAAACAAACAAAAACAGCAGUUCAACACAACUCAGUGGGCCGGUUCUUUUUGUCCUUUUAAAUUUCAAUGACGACUGUCCAGUCUGAAUGAUUAGUAUAGCGAUGGAAAUAACAAAUGCGGAUGGAAAUGGUUGAUUUCAACGAAUCAAAGAUAGAAACUCUUCUCGAGUUUUCACAUCCUGCUGAAAAGUUCCCAACAUGCAGCUGGUUGUAGUUUUGGCGGAGUACUUUUGCACACCUCGCAUCACCAUGCACAUGUGACCUUGCAAACGACGACUGUACAUUUCAACAAUGCGCGCCAAUUUGCUCAGACCGAGAAUUUUUUUGUUGGGCAAAUAGCCGAUCGAAACGCGGCCAAUGAACGGUAUCAAAUGAUGCUCGCACAUGGAAAACAUUUCAAUAUCACGAACAAUAACCAUUUCAUCAUGAUCUUCGUCAAAAACUGCGUCAUUCAAAACUUUUGUCAAAUCAGUACUGUAUCCGGUUGUGAAGAAAAGCAUCGCUUGGGCAGCUCUUUGAGGUGUUUUCUGAAGACCAUCUCGGUGGCAAUCUUCGCCGACGAGUUUCAAAAUUUGCUCAUAACAAGCUGCCAGAUCGUUCUGAAUUUCCUGUUCAGAUCGUUGCUCCACGUUGAGAAAAGUCGACUUCUGAUCAUUAUCUGCAGCUGAAUGCAGGCCGUUACUCGAGUCGACGACCAUAGAACGCUUCCCAAAUGCAUUAGUCAAUGAACUACUACUCCGACUUGAGUCACCAACUCGAACAACAGCUCUGACGGAACGAUUGUCGAACAUAUCGAAUUACAAAAAAAUAAUAAUUAUUGUUUUUCUUUCCACUAAAUAUCUUCAAUUGUAAAAAUUGAGUUGGCCAAAUUAUACGGAAUAAGUGAAAACUAGAGAAAAAGCUCGUUUAAAGCAAACAAUCCGCAUCAUCGUCACCAACAUCCGCAUGAGUUGAGCGAACGAACGGCUGCUGUAUUUGUCGAACGCGCGCUUAUAGACGGGUCUCCAAGGUUGAAUAGCCUCUGGCCGAUAGAAUAAUGUAGGUAAGGGAAGUCGGCAAAACGGAUCCGUAACUUCGGAACAAGGAUUGGCUCUAAGGGCUGGGCCGAUCGGGCUGAGGUUUCAAGCGUGCAGUGUAUGCUUGGCUUAGUUGUGUUGAGGACUUGUUCACUUGCCACCGGUUGUUCGGCUGGUCGAGUGUAUUCGAGUCUGAAGCAGAGCUGGCCGACAGACCGGCACGUGCAGAACCUGAGCUGCGCGGCUGUCCGUUUUCGUGUACAGACCGUUUCGGUCGGCAUUCAACAGCCAACUUAGAACUGGCACGGACACAAGGAAUCUGACUGUAUAAUUAAAACAAAGCAUUGCGAUGGCCGAUGAUCGGUGAUGACGCAAUGCGAUUCCUGCCCAGUGCUCUGAAUGUCAAAGUGAAGAAAUUCAAUCAAGCGCGGGUAAACGGCGGGAGUAACUAUGACUCUCUUAAGGUAGCCAAAUGCCUCGUCAUCUAAUUAGUGACGCGUAUGAAUGGAUCAACAAGAUUCCUUCUGUCCCUAUCUACUAUCUAGCGAAACCACAGCCAAGGGAACGGGCUUGGCAAAAUCAGCGGGGAAAGAAGACCCUGUUGAGCUUGACUCUAGUCUGACUCUGUGAAGAGACAUGAAAGGUGUAGCAUAGGUGGGAGAUUGUCAAUUUGCCAUCGUUCACGCGAUGGUCCGGUGAUCGCCAAUGAAAUACCACUACUUUGAUCGUUUCUUUACUUAUUCGGUAAAGCGAAAAAAUUGUGGCCAAUUUGGCGGCGUUUAUGUCGCUGUUGGUCAUUGUUUUCAUGUUGGAUUGAAGCUUUGUUUACAGCCGUCGCUUUGUGUCUUCAUUUGGCGCAUUGUUGUACUGGGUUAUCCCAGUGUGUGAUGUGGUCACAAUGGAUGAUCGGCGAUAGGCUUGAAGUGAUUCGCUCCGGAAACAGUGUCAGACGGGGAGUUUGACUGGGGCGGUACAUCUGUUAAACGAUAACGCAGGUGUCCUAAGGUAAGCUCAGCGAGGACAGAAACCUCGCCUAGAGUAAACGGGCACAAGCUUACUUGAUUUUGAUUUCCAGUACGAAUAGAAACCGCGAAAGCGUGGCCUAUCGAUCCUUUUGAUUGUGUAGAUUUCAUGCAAGAGGUGUCAGAAAAGUUACCACAGGGAUAACUGGCUUGUGGCAGCCAAGCGUCCAUAGCGACGUUGCUUUUUGAUCCUUCGAUGUCGGCUCUUCCUAUCAUUGCGAAGCAGAAUUCGCCAAGCGUUGGAUUGUUCACCCACCAAUAGGGAACGUGAGCUGGGAUUAGACCGUCGUGAGACAGGUUAGUUUUACCCUACUGAUGACAAGUCGUUGCGAUAGUAAUCCUGCUCAGUACGAGAGGAACCGCGGGAUCAGACAUUUGGUUCAUGCGCUCGGCUGAAAGGCCGGUGGCGCGAAGCUAGCAUCUGCAAGAUUAUGACUGAACGCCUCUAAGUCAGAAUCUUUUCUAGUCAUUGG
rnacentral:rRNA from 1 species